rnacentral:tRNA from 1 species
GUAGGUGUAGCUCAGUUGGUUAGAGCGUCAGAUUGUGAUUCUGAAUGUCGCGGGUUCGAAUCCCGUCACUUACCCCA